rnacentral:rRNA from 1 species
UACGGAGGGUGCGAGCGUUGUCCGGAAUCACUGGGCGUAAAGGGCGCGUAGGCGGUCUGCUAAGCGUGCGGUGAAAGCCUGGGGCUCAACCCCAGGUCUGCCGUGCGAACUGGUGGACUAGAGCACUGUAGAGGCAGGUGGAAUUCCGGGUGUAGCGGUGGAAUGCGUAGAGAUCCGGAAGAACACCGGUGGCGAAGGCGGCCUGACUGGGCAG